rfam:Rattus norvegicus chromosome 1, whole genome shotgun sequence.
GGGGAUUUAGCUCAGUGGUAGAGCGAUUGCUUAGGAAGCGCAAGGCCCUGGGUUCGGUCCCCAGCUCCG